AGAGGGAUAGCUGGGUCAAAUGGUGGUUUCAUUUCCAACUUUCCAAGAAAUCUCCAUACUACUUUCCUUAUUGGCUGCACCAUUUUGCAGUCCCACCAGCAAU
rnacentral:pre_miRNA from 1 species